UGCGCUGUUGGAGCCACAUCACCGCCGUUCCUCACUGUCACCGCCGUGUUUCACCGCCGUCGUUAAACUUCCAUCGCCGUCGCCACUGUCCAACCCGCCGUCAGGGAGAGGCACUUCCAUCAAACCCUAGCCAUCACUAUCGCCUUUGCACGCAAAGAAGGGGCUGGUGCCACUGUUGCCACUAUUGCCGUCGAUUUGGAGUUGCCAUAGACACAAUUGUUUCUACUUCUAGUGCUCAUUCUUCUAACUGUUGGAGUUGCUGUGGAAUGGAGCCACUGGCGGGGUGUUGCUGCUGCCAGAACCACCGGGAAGGAUUGCUGGGAAUCACUGCUGCCCUGUUUUCGUUCUAAUUAGGUUCAACAUCCAUUGGCUUGGAGCUGUUUCUGCCUUUCGAUUCCAUCGAAUUCGAAAUCUUCAUUUCAUUGCAACCAUGGUCAUUGUUGUGGAAGCUAAUGCUACUGCUGUCCCGGUUGUGUUGAGAUGUAGUGCUGCUGCUUUCUGGGCAGAAACGGUUGUGUGACUAGUAGAGGUCCAGCCAGCUGCCUCGCAGCAAUUCUGCCAACGGUCUCUUGUAAUUGCGACAUCGAGUGACACAGGUUUGAAGACGCGAUUUGAAGCUGCGAGCGAUUAGUAGGUUUUUUCUUUAUUGUUUUAAUUGGUCGGGUAGAGUCCCCUCGCUGAUUGUCCCUUGAGAUUUUA